GUACGGAGGAUCCGAGCGUUAUCCGGAUUUAUUGGGUUUAAAGGGUGCGCAGGCGGCCAUUUAAGUCAGUGGUUAAAUCGUGGGGCUCAACCCCAUUCUGCCGUUGAUACUGGGUGGCUUGAUUGCGGUCGAGGUUGGCGGAAUUCGUUGUGUAGCGGUGAAAUGCAUAGAUAUGACGAAGAACACCGAUUGCGUAGGCAGCUGACCAGACCGCAAAUGACGCUCAUGCACGAAAGUGCGGGGAUCGAACAGGAUUAGAUACCCUGGUAGUCCGCACAGUAAACGAUGAAUACUUGUUUUCGGCGAUAUAAUGUCGGAGGCAAAGCGAAAGCGAUAAGUAUUCCACCUGGGGAGUACGCCGGCAACGGUGAAACUCAAAUGAAUUGGCGGGG
rnacentral:rRNA from 1 species